GCGGCGGAUGACUAGCUACUGAAUCAUAGAAUUUCUUUAAAUUCAUGAUGUCGUAAGGGAAAAUAAUGAUAUUACCUUACUAUGAGUGUCGUCCAAAGCUGGUGCCAGAAGACUCGGUAAGACCAGAGACGCAAACGUUAAUCAUCUUAAACAGGCGUAAAGGGUUUGUAGGCAGCUUUCAUAAUAUUAUUUCUUACAAAAAUAAAGAAGUGGUCUGAUUGAAAGCUAGAAUCAAAAAGAGGUUAUAGUGUAUAACGCCUAGAGGAGGGCUGAUAUCCUUAGAUCCUAGGCAGAAUACUUAGGGCGAAGGCCACUCUCCACUAAUGAUUGACGCUGAGAAACGAAGGUAAGGGUAGGAAAUAGGAUUAGAUACCCCGGUACUCCUUUCUGUAAACGAUGAAUGGUAGUCAUUAGUAAAAUUAAAAAUUACUAGAGACGAAGUUAACACAAUAACCAUUCCGCCUUGUGAGUACUACUGCAAAGUAGAAAACAAAAAAAUUAGUCGGUCUCGAAGCAAACGGAGUGAAGCAUGUUAUUUAUA
rnacentral:rRNA from 1 species